rnacentral:rRNA from 1 species
AUGACGGCUGAACCUUGUCUUCCUCAAUGCUUUGAUGAACUUGCGGUUCCGGUGGCCAUACUACAGACGAGAUGGAAACAGCAGAAGGGCAAGAUGUGCAAACAGGUGCGAGUGCGCUGGUCCAACUCCGACGCUCUAGGAUCAACAUGGGAGGACAAGGCAAGUCUACAGGCAAGGUUUCCCUUUGCGGAGGCUUGGGGACAAGCCUCGUCUCAAGAAGCGGGGGAUGUCAGCGCCCCUGACAGGUGCGCCCCACAAGACAGCGACACCAACCAGCCACAAGCCGCCCCACGCGCGGCUCGAACCCGGAAGCCCAGCUGCAGGACCUGCGGCCCAGAAUGGUCCAAGUGA